ACCAAGAUGCCACCAGGAGGGGACGCGGGUUUGGGGUCAGAAUCGAUAAAUUUGGGGCCGUUUCCGGAAUUUCCUUUAUUGACAAACGCGGAGUCGGGCGGGGGAGGGGCGGAGUGUUCGGCCACGCCCACCGGGGGGAGCAGCCAAUGGGAGCAGGGGACGGGGGAAAGGGCCAAUCAGGGGCCGCGAAGGGGGAGGGGUCAAGGGGAGGUUGGAAAAGGUCAACGCAACCAAAGGUCAACCAAAGGUCAACCAAAGGUCAACCAAAGGUCAACCAAAGGUCAAUCAAACCCAACCAAAGGUCAACCAAAGGUCAACCCAACCAAAGGUCAACCAAAGGUCAACCAAAGUCAACCAAAAUCAACCCAAUCCAACUAAAGGUCAA